GACAGAGGGGGCAAGCGUUGCUCGGAAUUACUGGGCGUAAAGCGCGCGUAGGCGGGCUUGUAAGUUGAUUGUGAAAGCCCUGGGCUUAACCCGGGAAUGGCAGUCAAAACUACAAGUCUUGAGUGCCUGAGAGGAUGGCGGAAUUCCCGGUGUAGUAGUGAAAUACGUAGAUAUCGGGAAGAACACCUGAGGCGAAGGCGGCUAUCUGGCGGUGCACUGACGCUGAGGCGCGAAAGCUAGGGGAGCGAACAGG
rnacentral:rRNA from 1 species